AAUUCUAUACUUUGAGGAGCCAUUUUCAUAGUUUGUUGCUAGAGAAGUUUCUCUGAGCAUGGAGUGUACCAGAAAGCAUGAGGAGGAAGUGCAGUGCUCUUGCCUUACCUGUGAAAUCUGUUGCUUCAUUGCAACCGCAGUUUUUCAUUGAUGGCCCAUCUUGUCUUCCUUUGGGAGAGAAAAGAAGGGGAGGAUACAGUCUGAGUGGU
ensembl:snoRNA U3 Small nucleolar RNA U3